GUCUCUGUGGCGCAAUUGGUUAGUGCAUUCGGCUGAUAACUGAAAGGUUGGUGGUUCAAGCCAACCAGAGACA